rnacentral:rRNA from 1 species
AUUGAACGCUAGCGGCAGGCUUAACACAUGCAAGUCGAGCGAGCGGCGGACGGGUGAGUAAAGUCUGGGAACCUGACUGAUGGAGGGGGAUAACUACUGGAAACGGUAGCUAAUACCGAAUACCCUCAGAUGUUCCCAGAUGGGAUUCGCUAGUAGUGGGGGUAAUGGGUCACCUAGGCGACGAUCCCUAGCUGGUCUGAGAGUAUGACCAGUCACACUGGAACUGAGACACGGUCCAGACUCCUACGGGAGGCAGCAGUGGGGAAUAUUGCACAAUGGGCGCAAGCCUGAUGCAGCCAUGCCGCGUGUGUGAAGAAGGCCUUCGGGUUGUAAAGCACUUUCAGCGAGGAGGCGUUACUCGCAGAAGAAGCACCGGCUAACUCCGUGCCAGCAGCCGCGGUAAUAC